rnacentral:rRNA from 1 species
AUUGAACGCUGGCGGCAGGCCUAACACAUGCAAGUCGAACGGUAGCACAGAGAGCUUGCUCUCGGGUGACGAGUGGCGGACGGGUGAGUAAUGUCUGGGAAACUGCCUGAUGGAGGGGGAUAACUACUGGAAACGGUAGCUAAUACCGCAUAACGUCGCAAGACCAAAGAGGGGGACCUUCGGGCCUCUUGCCAUCAGACGUGCCCAGAUGGGAUUAGCUAGUAGGUGGGGUAACGGCUCACCUAGGCGACGAUCCCUAGCUGGUCUGAGAGGAUGACCAGCCACACUGGAACUGAGACACGGUCCAGACUCCUACGGGAGGCAGCAGUGGGGAAUAUUGCACAAUGGGCGCAAGCCUGAUGCAGCCAUGCCGCGUGUAUGAAGAAGGCCUUCGGGUUGUAAAGUACUCUCAGCGGGGAGGAAGGGAGUAAGGUUAAUAACCUUGCUCAUUGACGUUACCCGCAGAAGAAGCACCGGCUAACUCCGUGCCAGCCGCCGCCGUAA